rnacentral:lncRNA from 1 species
UUAAUUUCAAUUUUCAAAGAACAAGCAAUCACUUUCUGAGUAUGUAUAGGAAUUUAACAGGCAUCAACACUUAGAUUCAAUAAUAGAUCUCAAAUACAGUGCAAAUCAUGAACAUGAACCACCAAUCUCAAAUUCAGCAGCUAGUAUUAGGUUCAAUCUAACACAAAUCCUGGAACCAACAACAACAUAGUGAACGUAGACAGGAUUCUACUAAGCUCAAGUCACUGAUACAUCAAACCAAUUCUAUCACCCAUACAUCACUGAUACACGCGCGCGCACACCUGCAUUACGUGUUUGUUAACCCGACUUACUUCACACUAUCUCCCUUUCCAAAAACAAGGAAAUUAGGAGAGGAAGAAGAGUAACAAGGAUCUUCAGAUGGUAGAACAAUAUUGAUAGUAACAAUAAUUCCGCAACGAUAAAAUGUUGUCUAGCUUUGAACAUCAACAACAACUAUCUAGUAUAGUCCCACACAGUGGUGUCAGUGGGGUCUGGAGAAUUGUCUAGCUUUGAACACGAAUCAAAAUAGAAUAGUUGACCUCAGUUUGAAGCUUACCAUGUAUGACCUAUAUUGAGAGUAAGAAAAACUAAUCAAACAUUUUUACUCUACCUAGAACAAGGCCAAAAGAUUAACACCAGAAAAAAAAAUUCAAGUUCCAACAACAAUCUAAUUUUUUAUCAUGUUACAAAUAUUCCAUUCAAUGUUGAAACUAAAUCAAACAAAUAAGUUCUAAUUGCACCAACAGAAACGAAUUAGAAGUCAAUCCCAUAUUCAAAUAAUAACAAGUGAAUAGGCUAAAACAAAAUCCAGAAAUACGCAUAAAAAAAGGGGUUCUGAAGGUAUUUUAAUGAGCACACAUCUAGCUGCAACGGAAACUAAAAUUAGAAGAAAGCAGACGCCGUUUAAAUGCUAGAAUCAGUAAAUUGGAAUAUCAACAAGCAAUUUCCAGCAGAGCAACACCGGCGAGCUCGACUACACAUUGAGAGGAGAACAACAACGGAAGCAAAAAAUCCAUAAACUUGAAACAAAUCAACCGUAGAAUUUCGGACCUCAAACCCAACUUCAAAUUAAGCUUUAAUCAAACUUCAUUUUGAGAACCAAAAAUCAGGAGAAUGAAUAAAUGCAUUUGUGCUUUCUUUUUUUGUACGUUUUCUGAAGAAAAAUAGACGAAAAAUGGCCUGAAGAGAAUGAAAACUAAAGACCCUAGAAAUUUACUCUACUAAAUUUUCUGCAAAUUUUUCUCCGAUUUUUUCUUCUACCCUAGAAAAAAAACUUAUCUCAUAUAUAUAUCACUCAAAAAUCUCGAACAUCUGCCCAAAAUUCAAAAAACUUCACGUUUUUGAACGAUUUUUGGGACGAAUGGAAGACAUGGAUCGAUUUACAUCUAUCCACGGCUCCCAUUCAUCCAGAAAAUCAUUCCAUCAUACAAAAUCGUGCAAAAUUCGGAGAGAAUAUUCGUAUUCUUUCUGACAAAAAC